UCCAGACUCCUACGGGAGGCAGCAGUGAGGAAUAUUGGUCAAUGGCCGGGAGGCUGAACCAGCCAAGCCGCGUGAGGGAUGAAGGUACAGAGUAUCGUAAACCUCUUUUGUCAGGGAACAAAGGCGGGGACGUGUCCCCGGAUGAGUGUACCUGAAGAAAAAGCAUCGGCUAACUCCGUGCCAGCAGCCGCGGUAAUACGGAGGAUGCGAGCGUUAUCCGGAUUUAUUGGGUUUAAAGGGUGCGCAGGCGGAGGCACAAGGCAGCGGAAAAAUCGGGGGGCUCAACCCCGUCGAGCCGUUGAAACUGGCAGACGUGAGUUGGCGAGAAGUACGCGGAAUGCGCGGUGUAGCGGUGAAAUGCAUAGAUAUCGCGCAGAACUCCGAUUGCGAAGGCAGCGUACCGGCGCCAGACUGACGCUGAGGCACGAAAGCGUGGGGAUCGAACAGGAUUAGAUACCCCAGUA
rnacentral:rRNA from 1 species